UUUAUGGAGAGUUUGAUCCUGGCUCAGGAUGAACGCUGGCGGCGUGCCUAAUACAUGCAAGUCGAGCGAACGGACGAGAAGCUUACUUCUCUGAUGUUAGCGGCGGACGGGUGAGUAACACGUGGAUAACCUACCUAUAAGACUGGGAUAACUUCGGGAAACCGGAGCUAAUACCGGAUAAUAUUUUGAACCGCAUGGUUCAAAAGUGAAAGACGGUCUUGCUGUCACUUA
rnacentral:rRNA from 1 species